rnacentral:rRNA from 1 species
UAGGGAAUCUUCGGCAAUGGACGGAAGUCUGACCGAGCAACGCCGCGUGAGUGAAGAAGGUUUUCGGAUCGUAAAGCUCUGUUGUUAGAGAAGAACGUUGGUAGGAGUGGAAAAUCUACCAAGUGACGGUAACUAACCAGAAAGGGACGGCUAACUACGUGCCAGCAGCCGCGGUAAUACGUAGGUCCCGAGCGUUGUCCGGAUUUAUUGGGCGUAAAGCGAGCGCAGGCGGUUCUUUAAGUCUGAAGUUAAAGGCAGUGGCUUAACCAUUGUACGCUUUGGAAACUGGAGGACUUGAGUGCAGAAGACGAGAGUGGAAUUCCAUGUGUAGCGGUGAAAUGCGUAGAUAUAUGGAGGAACACCGGUGGCGAAAGCGGCUCUCUGGUCUGUAACUGACGCUGAGGCUCGAAAGCGUGGGGAGCAAACAGG